rnacentral:lncRNA from 1 species
CAAGAGCUUCCGCCCCGACUACAUCCUCGGAGAAGGCGGCUUCGGCACUGUCUACAAAGGCUACAUUGAUGACAAUCUCCGCCUUGGCCUCAAGUCUCUCCCUGUUGCCGUCAAGGUUCUUAACAAGGAAGGUCUCCAGGGACACCGUGAGUGGCUUACUGAAGUCAACUUCCUUGGCCAGCUCCGUCAUUACAACCUCGUUAAGCUUAUUGGUUACUGCUGUGAGGAUGAUCAUCGUUUGCUUGUUUAUGAGUUCAUGCUGAGAGGCAGCCUUGAGAAUCACCUCUUUCGAAGUAAACCCCCUUCUCCUCCGUUCAUAUUCUUGUCUAGUUUAUAAGUCAGACCAUACUGAUGAUGAGAAACCAGACAUGUGUUCUUAGCAAUGUCCUAAAGCUCGGUCUUAGCAUCCUGUUUAGGUGGCGAAUCAGUCAUAAACUAAACGGUUAUACUGGUCUAGGUGUGAGCUUAAGCAAUACUCCCUCGUAAAACAUCUAAUUACCGAUUUCUUAAACAAUGGUUACUAUCAUGGUAGUGUAUAAUUAACCAAGUCAGUAACCAUGGCCUCUCUCUACAGAAACCACAGCUCCGUUAUCUUGGUCUAGAAGGAUGAUGAUUGCUCUUGGGGCUGCAAAGGGCCUUGCUUUCCUGCACAACGCUGAAAGACCGGUUAUUUAUCGGGAUUUCAAGACUUCCAAUAUACUGCUUGACUCGGUAACUAGUGUUAUUCUUUUUUUCUUUUAUUGCUGCAAAUAUUGCGAAUACUUUCCCACAGCUUGUGUUGAACAUGCAGGACUACACAGCCAAGCUUUCGGAUUUUGGCUUGGCUAAAGCUGGGCCACAGGGUGAUGAAACCCAUGUGUCAACUCGAGUGAUGGGCACUUACGGCUAUGCUGCCCCUGAAUAUGUGAUGACUGGUAUGACAUGCAUAACCAUAGCUAGAUGUUUCCCCCUUAAACAUGGUCUGUGAUGGCAGCAAUGCUCAACUGUUUAUAUAAGUCCUAAAAAUAGAGUAGUUGCUUAAGUUGUUAACUAGAUGUCAUGUGGGAGCUCGCUUGCACCUCUACCUCUCUCUUUCACUAGAUUGCUAUUGUUUACCACAUAGUAUGUGGUAUGUAAGAUGUCGAACCAUGCAUCUAAAGACUCUCAAGCAUUACACAAAUACACACUGACUUGAUUUUGUUACUAAUGAACAAGGACACCUGACGGCCAGAAGUGAUGUGUACAGCUUUGGAGUUGUUCUUCUAGAGAUGUUGACUGGAAGAAAGUCAGUGGACAAGACGAGACCUAGAAAAGAGCAGAACCUGGUAGAUUGGGCACGGCCAAAGCUGAACGAUAAAAGAAAACUGCUGCAAAUAAUAGACCCGAGGCUGGAGAACCAAUACUCGGUCAAGGCAGCUCAGAAGGCAUGCAGCUUGGCGUAUUACUGUCUGAGUCAGAACCCCAAAGCUAGGCCGUUGAUGAGUGAUGUGAGCGCUCACGGUCUCUCUCUCUCUCUCUCUCUCUCUCUCUCUCUCUCUCUCUCUCUCUAACUUAACUCCCUUGAUUCUGAUCUAUCUUUCCACCUCGCAGCUCAACAGCUACAGAUGAAGCACUCACGCUCCGUCUCAGAUCUGAGCGAUCCAUCUACUCCCGACUCUCGCACUCCUCCUUCCGUCAUCCCUUUCACUCUCUUCGAGCUCGAGACCAUCACCAAGAGCUUCCGCCCCGACUACAUCCUCGGAGAAGGCGGCUUCGGCACUGUCUACAAAGGCUACAUUGAUGACAAUCUCCGCCUUGGCCUCAAGUCUCUCCCUGUUGCCGUCAAGGUUCUUAACAAGGAAGGUCUCCAGGGACACCGUGAGUGGCUUACUGAAGUCAACUUCCUCGGCCAGCUCCGUCAUUACAACCUCGUUAAGCUUAUUGGUUACUGCUGUGAGGAUGAUCAUCGUUUGCUUGUUUAUGAGUUCAUGCUGAGAGGCAGCCUUGAGAAUCACCUCUUUCGAAGUAAACCCCCUUCUCCUCCGUUCAUAUUCUUGUCUAGUUUAUAAGUCAGACCAUACUGAUGAUGAGAAACCAGACAUGUGUUCUUAGCAAUGUCCUAAAGCUCGGUCUUAGCAUCCUGUUUAGGUGGCGAAUCAGUCAUAAACUAAACGGUUAUACUGGUCUAGGUGUGAGCUUAAGCAAUACUCC